GACGGAGGAUGCAAGUGUUAUCCGGAAUCACUGGGCGUAAAGCGUCUGUAGGUGGUUUAAUAAGUCAACUGUUAAAUCUUGAGGCUCAACUUCAAAAUCGCAGUCGAAAACUAUUAGACUAGAGUAUAGUAGGGGUAAAGGGAAUUUCCAGUGGAGCGGUGAAAUGCGUAGAGAUUGGAAAGAACACCAAUGGCGAAAGCACUUUACUGGGCUAUCACUGACACUGAGAGACGAAAGCUAGGGUAGCAAAUGGG
rnacentral:rRNA from 1 species